rnacentral:lncRNA from 1 species
AUGAAAAAUGAAAACUAUCUGCAGAUUUUGAAAAAUAAAGAUCAACGAAGGAGGCUUGUGCAUGAAAUCUGUACCUUUUUGGACAGCAGCCAGUCUGUUCAGGAGAUUGAUGCUCUGAGAACAGAAAAUAGGAAGCUAAAAAAUGCGAACUCAAGAUUGCGUUAUAAAACAAAAGAUUGGGCUCUAAAGAAAGAAGAGUAUGAAAAGUAAGGCAUGA